rnacentral:tRNA from 1 species
AGAGUUAUAGUCAAUUAUGAUAUCUGGGUUGCAUUCAGAAGGUACGAAUUUAUUCGUUGACUUUA